CCAGAGUGGUGGCCCCCAGUAUGGGGGUGGUUCUUCAUCUGCUCUUUAUGCUCUUUCGGAUGUCAGGGUAUCGCCGAAGUCCCAGACACAUUGGGCGCGAUGUUCCCUUGUAAGCAAAGGGAUCUUGGUUUCAAAGAGAAACAAAAGUAUUGGCCAAGUAUGACCAACAUUCCUUGUUUCUUUUUGAGACUAAGAUCCCUUUGCUUAGAUAUCCAUAAGUUCAGUUACAGUCAAUUUUACAAUUUUAAGAAUACUAUUGAAAGAUUAAUCAUAGUAAGUUCCAAGCAAACCAAAAUUGAGCAAUUUUUCACUAUCCAAGAUUGAU
rnacentral:lncRNA from 1 species